rnacentral:lncRNA from 1 species
UUUCAUACUUUAUAUUCCUACUCUCCCAAAUAAAACAUAAAAAAUAAAAAAAUAGCAGUACUCUAAUAAAAAAAAACUUAAAAAAAUAUUAUUUGACUGCACAACUUACUGCUCUACUUUUUAACUCUCUUUAAUUUUCUUUCAUUCACCCUCCUCUCUUCUUUUUUCUAUCAUCCCGAUCUCUUUUCUGCUUUGUUCUUAUCUAUUUUGACUCUGUCUCGAAAGCCUUAAUUAUUUUUAUCUUAUAUGCUUUGUUUAUUUCGCUUAAUGAAUGAAACAGUUACCUACCUUGCUAUCUCUUUCUAAAAAA